AACGAACGCUGGCGGCAGGCCUAACACAUGCAAGUCGAACGCACCGCAAGGUGAGUGGCGCACGGGUGAGUAACACGUGGGAAUGUACCCUUUGGUUCGGAAUAACGUUUGGAAACGAACGCUAAUACCGGAUGAGCCCUGUGGGGGAAAGAUUUAUCGCCAAAGGAGCAGCCCGCGUCUGAUUAGCUAGUUGGUGGGGGUAAAGGCCUACCAAGGCGACGAUCAGUAGCUGGUCUGAGAGGAUGAUCAGCCACACUGGGACUGAGACACGGCCCAGACUCCUACGGGAGGCAGCAGUGGGGAAUAUUGGACAAUGGGCGGAAGCCUGAUCCAGCCAUGCCGCGUGAGUGAUGAAGGCCUUCGGGUUGUAAGACUCUUUCGCACGCGACGAUGAUGACGGUAGCGUGAGAGAAG
rnacentral:rRNA from 1 species